AUGAAAUUCCUUGCUCAGCUCCUGGGGCUGCUAAUGCUCUGGAUCCCAGGAUCCAGUGGAGAUAUUGUGAUGACCCAGACUCCACUCUCCCUGCCUGUCGUCCCUGGAGAGCUGGCCUCCAACUCAUGCAGGUUUAGUCAGAGCCUCCUACAUAGUAAUGGAAACACCUAUUUGCACUGGUUCCUGCAGAAGCCAGGCCAAUCUCCAAGGCGUCUGACCUAUAGGGUGUCCAACCGGAACUCUGGGGUCCCAGACAGGUUCAUUGGCAGCGGGUCAGGGACAGAUUUUACACUUAAAAUCAGCAAGGUGGAGGCUGAAGAUGGUGGAGUUUAUUAUUGCUCCCAAGUUGUUAAUACUUUGGGGAUGUUUAUGGGAAUCAAAUUGUGCCGCAGUCUAGGGCUGCUAAGAUACCAGAAUAUGAGUGAGCCAAACAGUUUCUACCUUGUGGAAGUUUCUAAUUCUGAAGGCAAGCACAAGAAAGAUGAGUAA